rnacentral:misc_RNA from 1 species
AACGGUCUAUACCUGCGGUACCUGCGGAGGGAUCAUUAAUGAGAAACUGCCCCUCGCGGGUAGAUCUCCCACCCUUUGUAAACUUACCUUUGUUGCUUUGGCAGGCCCGUCUCCGGACCGCCGGCUUCGGCUGGCCAGUGCCUGCCAGAGGAUUCUAAAACCCUGUCUGUCAGUGUUGUCUGAGUCUAUAUACAAUCGUUAAAACUUUUAACAAUGGAUCUCUAGAUCGGAAGAGCACAC